rnacentral:lncRNA from 1 species
CCUGAGGCAAGUAAAGGGGAAGGAUUGCAGGCCCAAAGUCACGGCAAUGGAAAAACCAUUAGCAGCAGGAGGCAGGAAAGCCCUCUGGAAUGCCUUGCUACUGUCCUGCCCCAUUUCUCACUCCUUCUCUCCUUGCAACAUCCCAGAUGAGAAGAGAAUGAGCCAUGUGUUUCCUGAAACAUCCAGUGGCCUCACCGGAGAAUCUGCAAGAGCCGGUAAACCCAGAAGCUUGGCCGUCCAUUCCUGGAAGCAGACAUUGUGUCUUCGUCCACCAAGCCCCUGGCUCUCAACACUCACUGUGGUGGCAAGAACAUGGCACCUUGACCCUACACAGUUCUUCCAUUUUUCAGAAGCAGCUCCAGACCCUUGUCCCCAGGUUUUGACCCCACCCAGACCUUUGCCUGGGACGGAAAGCUGCUUCAUUUCAGGAGACACCUGAAGUACCUGGGUUGGUUCAGAGACUACCAGAAGUUUUUGGACUUCUUCUAGUCCUUUAAUGGCCAAAAGGACUCAAGGGCCUGGCAUGUAAUGGAAAAGGCAUCACCUCUCUCAUGGAACGCAGCUGGAAGGACCAACCCCUUCAUAGUUACAGGAAUCUGAGCUAUGAAGACACUAGCCAGGCAACAAGGCCCUGGGCUCAGACACAGAUGAAGUUUCUCUGGAAGAGAAAUCUGGCCUGUUACAGACCUGGGAAGUGCCAAGGCUUAGCUCCUGAGAAGGAUUGCUGGUGCUGACAGCUGGGAGUCAGGACUCCAGGGCCACUUGUAUGGAAGCUGGUGCCCGUGGUGCAGGAGGAUGGGGGCUCUGGAUUCUGCACCACCCCCCAUAGACUGGCCCCUCAGAGGGCUCCUGUGGUGUCAGAGCCCUCUCACAAGCGCCUGCCGUGGUUAUCAGCUGAAGCUGAGUGCUUGUGGAGUGUGGACAGAGGGCAGAGGGAGAGAAGCAGCCAUGGGCUUCCUGCCAGGAAGCUCAGCAGCUCCGAGGAGACUGGAGAGUCAUGGGACACAGUGCGUCCUCCCCAGAACAGCCUCCAGCCUGCCAGUUCAGAGCACACGCUUGGAGGCAGGAAGGCUGAGGUCCAACCCCAUUCCUGCUAUGGGCCAGCUGAGAGCUGUGGACAAGUCAUUCGGCUUCUCUGAGCCGCAGUCUUCUCACCUGUAAAGCGGGGGUAAUAAUACCCUCCUCACAAGGUUGUUGCAAGGCUUUGUGGGGAAAAAUACAAAGUGCACAGAGUUGUUCAGUAAGGCGUGGGCCUGCGGGGAAAGGCGGGGCCAUGAGCUGGCCAGGGGAGGAAAGGACAGAUGGGGACUCCAGAUAAUGAAAGCAUCUUUGCAUCCUC